GACGAACGCUGGCGGCGUGCUUAACACAUGCAAGUCGAACGGGAGUAUCGAAGAAGCUUGCUUUUAAGAUACUUUAGUGGCGGACGGGUGAGUAACGCGUGAGGAGCUGUCCUAUGCAGGGGGACAACAGUUGGAAACGACUGCUAAUACCCCAUAAGCCGAGAGGUAAAAGGAUUUAUCCGGCAAAGGAGGUACUCGCGUCCUAUCAGCUAGUAGGUGGGGUAACGGCUCACCUAGGCGAAGACGGGUAGCCGGCCUGAGAGGGCGAACGGCCACACUGGAACUGAGAUACGGUCCAGACUCCUACGGGAGGCAGCAGUGGGGAAUAUUGGGCAAUGGGGGAAACCCUGACCCAGCGACGCCGCGUGGGUGAAGAAAUCCUUCGGGAUGUAAAGCCCUGUUGUAUGGGAAGAGCAGAAGACGGUACCAUACGAGGAAGCCCCGGCAAACUACGUGCCAGCCGCCGCCGUAA
rnacentral:rRNA from 1 species